rnacentral:misc_RNA from 1 species
AGUCGUAACAAGGUAACCGUAGGUGAACCUGCGGUUGGAUCAUUAAACAAACCCAAGGUGCCGGGAGUACGAUAUGGGGACAAAAAGGGCGCUUGCAACUCAAGUCGUCCUCCCCGUCGGCUCUCGGAUCACCAACACAUCUUGUGAACCCUCAAACCCGUCCGGCGGGGGAGGGAUGGGAGGCUCUCCGGAGUCUCCGAUUCCUCCGUCAGCGCAGGCAGCCUCCCGGCUGUCCUUCGCCGUGGACAACCCGCCCACCCAACCCUUCCAACCUUCGUGUUGAAGGGGUUGUUUUGCCCAACUUUUUGGAUCUUUAAGAAUUGUGAAUUGUAUCUGAGAAUGCGACGGUGCAAUUGCGCCGUCUUUUUGGAAACAAACAUUCAAAAACAACUUUUGGCAACGGAUCUCUUGGCUCUC